AAUGAACGCUAGCGGCAGGCUUAAUACAUGCAAGUCGAGGGACAGCACAGGUAGCAAUACUGGGUGGUAACCGGCAAACGGGUGCGGAACACGUACACAACCUUCCUUUAAGUGGGGGAUAGCCCAGAGAAAUUUGGAUUAAUACCCCGUAAUAUAGUUGAAUGGCAUCAUUUGAUUAUUAUAGCUACGGCGCUUAAUGAUGGGUGUGCGGCUGAUUAGAUAGUUGGCGGGGUAACGGCCCACCAAGUCUACGAUCAGUAGCUGAUGUGAGAGCAUGAUCAGCAACACGGGCACUGAGACACGGGCCCGACUCCUACGGGAGGCAGCAGUAAUGAAUAUUGGUCAAUGGACGCAAGUCUGAACCAGCCAUGCCGCGUGAAGGAUUAAGGUCCUCUGGAUUGUAAACUUCUUUUAUUUGGGACGAAAAAGGGCCUUUCUAGGUCAACUGACGGUACCAGAUGAAUAAGCACCGGCUAACUCCGUGCCAGCCGCCGCCGUAAAAC
rnacentral:rRNA from 1 species